GCUGAUGCAGCGACGCCGCGUGAGGGAUGACGGCCUUCGGGUUGUAAACCUCUUUCGCUCAUGGUCAAGCCGCAACAGUGGUUGUGGUGAGGGUAGUGGGUAAAGAAGCACCGGCUAACUACGUGCCAGCAGCCGCGGUAAUACGUAGGGUGCGAGCGUUGUCCGGAAUUAUUGGGCGUAAAGGGCUUGUAGGCGGUUUGUCGCGUCUGCCGUGAAAUCCUCUGGCUUAACUGGGGGCGUGCGGUGGGUACGGGCAGGCUUGAGUGCGGUAGGGGAGACUGGAACUCCUGGUGUAGCGGUGGAAUGCGCAGAUAUCAGGAAGAACACCGGUGGCGAAGGCGGGUCUCUGGGCCGUUACUGACGCUGAGGAGCGAAAGCGUGGGGAGCGAACA
rnacentral:rRNA from 1 species